UCCGACACUCUCCAGAGCUGUCGACAAGCCUCCACAGUCAAACACCAGGGAUCUCACAUUCGCCCCCACUACAAAAAGUUUCGUCCGCGAAACUGAAAUGUACCUCUGCUCAGGCAUCAAACAAAUAGGGGUAGGCUUCUCUCAUCACCGUCUCAGGCUCCCAAGUCGCCUCCCGCUCAUCAUGAUUACUCCACUGCACUUUUACAUACGGGAUGACCCGGUUGCGCGAUUCUUUCGUCUCUCGAGUAAGAAUCCGCAACGGUCGCUCCUCGUAUCUCAGAUCCUCACCAAUCUCUAGUGGAGUGAAGUUAAUCACGUGAGAGGGAUCGAAAACAUAUCUCCUCAAUGCUGAGAUGUGGAAAACAUCGUGGAUGCCAGCAAGUUGCGGGGGUAGAGCUAUCCUGUAUGCAACCGGUCCGAUACGCUCCAAUACCUCGAAAGGGCCAACAAACCGUGGACUAAGCUUUCCACGUACUCCAAAUCGGCGUAUCCCUCUGGACGGCGAGACUUUGAGAAAAACAUGAUCCCCAACCUGAAACUCCAAGUCUCGUUUCCUGGUAUCGGCGUAGCUCCUCUGUCGGCUCUGUGCUGUCAGAAGGUGUCGUCGAACGACUCUCACCUUUUCCUCAGCCUCACGUAGAAUGUCCGGUCCAAGUGUCCUACGCUCACCCACAUCGCUCCAAAACAGGGGGGAUCAACAUCUGCGUCCAUACAACGCCUCAAACGGAGCCAUCUGAAUGCUCGUUUGAUAGCUGUUGUUGUACGCAAACUCAACCAGUCUCACAUGUCGAUACCACUCUCCUCCAAAAUCCAGGACGUAUGCCCUCAGCAUAUCCUCUAGAGUCUGUAUGAUCCGCUCUGACUGACCAUCUGUUUAUGGGUGAAACGCCGUGCUAAAGUGCAGCUGAGUGCCCAAGGCUGUCUGAAGGCUCCUCCAAAACUGGGACACAAACCUCGGAUCUCUGUCUGACACAAUCGACACUGGCACGCUGUGCAGCCUAACGAUCUCAUCGAAGUAUAGCUGCGAGAGUCUCUCACUGGACCAGGUAGUCUGAACCGGUAGGAAGUGAGCAGACUUGGUCAGUCUGUCCACUAUCACCCAAAUAGCAUCGUAGCCACCCUGCGCUCUAGGCAAUCCAACAACGAAGUCCAUCGUGAUGUACUCCCACUUCCACUCUGGCACUGGCAGACUCUGAAGCUUGCAAGCAGGUACCAGAUGCUCGGCUUUCACCUGUUGGCAAGUCAAACACUGAGCCACAAAUCUGCCAAUGUCCCUCUUCAUUCCAGGCCACCAGAACUGUGCCUUAAGAUACUUAUACAUCUUGGUUCCCCCAGGGUGAACCGUAUAAGGAGAACAAUGAGCCUCUCUCAAAAUGUCUGCUCGGAUCUCAGAAUCCACAGGCACAUACAGUCGGUCCCUGUACCGUAGUACUCCCGAACUGUCCAAAGCAAAACCCUCAGCCUGCCCCCUGUCUAGCUGCUCUCUAGUCCUUAACAAGUACAGAUCUCUACUCUGUUUCUCGAGGAUCCUAUCCAAGAGAGUGGGCUGCAAAACUAGAGAUGUCAGCUUUGCCGUAGACCCAGAGGGUACUAUCUCGAGUCCCAGCCGCUGUAGCUCCUCGAGUAGGGGUCUCUGCUCAGUAAUCCUCAAACUCAGACUCUGCACUGAUUUCCUGCUCAACGCAUCUGCCACAACAUUCGCCCUGCCGGGAUGAUACUGAAUACUAAUGUCAUAGUCCUUCAGUAACUCCAACCACCGGCGCUGCCUCAGGUUCAGCUCCCUCUGUGUGAACAGGUACUUGAGACUUUUAUGAUCGGUGAAGACCUCGCAGUGCUCGCCAUACAAGUAAUGCCGCCAGAGCUUCAAAGCAAAAACCACCGCGGCAAGCUCCAAGUCAUGCGUAGGGUAAUUCUUCUCAUAAUCCUUUAACUGCCGUGAAGUAUAAGCAAUCACCCUACCAUACUGCAUCAGCACGCAACCAAAUCCACUGUGCGAUGCAUCACUGUAGAUAACGAAUCCUUCGCCCAUAACAGGAAGGGCAAGGACAGGAGCCGACGUCAACCUCAGUCUUAACUCGUCAAAGCUCCUCUGACAGUCGUCGUUCCAGACAAAAUGAAUCCCCUUUCGCGUCAAGCGUGUGAGGGGUGUAGAAAGCUUCGCAAAGCCUUCCACAAACCGACGGUAAUAUCCAGCCAGUCCCGGGAAGCUCCGUACCUCAGUCACCGUCGUCGAUCUAGGCCAAUCUCGAAUUGCCUCAAUUUUCUUCGGGUCCACUGCUACGCCCUCGGCUGAAAUCACGUGGCCCAAGAAAGCAACCUCUCGUAGCCAGAACUCGCACUUCUUUAACUUGGCAUACAACUUCUUCUCUCGCAGAAGCUGUAGCACAAUCCUCAAGUGCUCCUCAUGCUCAGCAUCACUCCGGGAGUAAAUCAGGAUAUCAUCGAUGAAGAUUACCACAAACCUAUCCAAGAACGGCUUGAACACUUUGUUCAUCAAAUCCAUGAAUGCGGCAAGGGCAUUCGUCAAUCUAAAAGGCAUCACUGUGAACUCAUAAUGCCCGUACCGAGUCCGAAAAGCUGUCUUGGGAACAUCUCGGCCCUCACCCUCAACUGGUGGUAACCUGACUGGAGAUCAAUCUUCGAGAAGACAUAAGAUCCCUGCAGCUGAUCAAACAAAUCAUCAAUGCGCGGCAAGGGAUACUUAUUCUUGAUGGUUACUUUAUUCAACUUCCGGUAAUCCACACACAGCCUAAGUGAACCAUCCUUCUUUUUCACAAACAACACCGGCGCUCCCCAAGGCGACACACUGGAUCUCACAAACCCUCUAUUCAUCAAGUCCUGAAGCUGUGCCUUUAGUUCUCUUAGUUCUGCCGGCGCCAUCCGAUAAGGUACUUUUGAGAUUGGUGCAGUUCCAGGAACUACAUCAAUCACAAACUCAAUCUCCCUCUCCGGCGGCAACGUCGUCAACUCAGGGGGAAACACAUCCGGAAACUCGUGGACUACUGAGAUGUCCUAGAUUCCCGGCGCUGCCGUAGGUACCUCCACAACAGUCGCUAGGAAAGCGAUACACCCGCUACUCAGCAUCUGUCGAGCCCUCACCGAAGAGAUCCAGGUGGCAAACAACGUACUCUUGCAGCCCCUGAAAGUGAACUCCUCCUGGCCUGGCUCGCGGGCAUGAUCCACGAAUCCAACUGCACCGGACAUGACCAACAACACUCUGCAACCUGUAAAAUAUGGUCCGGGAUCUGCACCUCUCGUGCUUGUGACAAUGCCCCUAACUCUAGACCAUGGAACAAUGCAAAUGCUAGCCUAACAAAAGAAUGCGAGGCUCCAGUAUCAAAAAGAGUGAGUACGAAUGCCGAAAAUCAAAGUGAUACCUGCCACUACUCGGUCGGCUGUUGUAGAGUCCUCCACCUGAGCUGCAUAGACUCUGCCACUUGGAGCCUGCUGUUGCCGCUCACCCUGUCGCGGCAUGGACGACCUAUCCUCCUGGCGGUAACUCGGUGUUGCUCUGUAAGUCUGCUGAGGUGCUGGUGGAGCCGAAGCUGAUGAUGGUGCUGGAGAUGCUGCUCGGGGACAAGCUGCCCUCAUGUGUCCCGGCUGACCACACCCGUAGCACCAGCCCUCCCUCUGCUCACACUGUCUGGGCCAGUGUGGUCCUCCGCAGAUCACACACUGCGGCGUCCUCUCUGGCUGUCCCCUCUGACUAGAGUCCCUGGAUCGCUGACGACCCGAGGACCCUCGACCCUGUGAACGCGAUCGCGGAGGCCUCGGCGGACGCCUGCUACUCGACUGACCUCCACCAUCUGGAGCUGGGUGAUUCCUGUCCUGACUCUGCCCCACGGCCUGAGUCCUCUCCUGCAGCGAUGUCUCCCCUCGCUCCACCCACAAGGCCUGCUUUAUAGACGCAUCCAGAGUCCUCGACCUCUGCGUCCGAGUCAACCUAAAGAUAUCCGGUUUCAGCCCCUGCUCGAAUAUGUACACCCUGUGCGCCUCGUCUCUAGCCGCAAAUGGUACAUAGUUCAGGAGUCGAGUAAACUCCCGAACGUACUCCUGCACUGGGCGGUCUCCCUGCUGAAGCCUACUUAAAUCCUCCUCGAGCUUCUGCUUCACACUGUUGGGAAAGAACAUCCCAAACAGCAUUCUACAGAACUCAUCCCACCUCAGCUGCGCCGCCACCAGCCCCUGGUCUCGCCUCGCCCUCUGCCACCAGUCAUGCGCAUCACCUGCUAAACAGUGUACUCCCAGAGGUACCUGCUCCCCCUCUAGAAUGAACAGAUCCUCAAAUAGUUUCUCCAUCAUACUGACCCAUCCCUCAACAACCCAGGCCUCAGUGCACCUGCCAUCGUAAAUCGGUGGAUCAAAACGACGAAAGCGAGCCAACCUCUCAGUCCGCCGCUCCUGCUAGGCCUCAGUAAACAGUACGGGCCCCCUAGCAGGCGCAACUGGCGCUGCAGGAAGCUCCACUGGUGGGGGCAUAGCUGCGGCUGGAGCUGACGCUGCGGUAGUCGGUGGUGGAACAGUCUGCUCUGGUACUCUCGGUGCAGCACUCGGUGUCUGAGCCACCCUGACACAACCUCUGCAACAACUCCCCCUGCUGCCUCGUCACCUCAGUCAGGGCAGCCAACCGUGCACUCAGAUCAGGGGGUGCGCUAGCCUCAGGUCGCACACUCGGCUCUACAACAGGGGGUGCACUCGCCUCCGGUUUGUCACUCUGCUCCUGCCGGGCACUCUGCUCUAUCUGCUCAGGUCUCUCGGGAGAUCCUGUACGAUCCCGCGCCAACUGGGCACGCUCCCGCAAUGACGGUCGACCUCGGCGACGAUACAUAGCUGAAAGGAACAAAUCGGGGUCAGAUACAACACAACACUCUCGACCCAAUAAACGAAAGUCUGGAAGGCGGUCUCUAUUUUCCUCCAAAAUUAUGUCGUCUGCAGCCAACAUAAUUUCUCAGGCCAAAACAGGAACUCCUUCAAUCACUCAUUCCACUCUAGGAGGAGUUAGAACAAAUAAUCAUUGACUUUCGCAAUUAAAUUACGCCACUCGCGUCUUGCUUUUCCUAAGGUUUGCCUAACUUAGGUUUCCUAGCUCCCAACGACCUAUAGCAAAGCUCUGAUACUAACUUAAUCUGUCACGCCCCGGAUGUCUCGUUCCCCGGGUACGCCGACAAAUCCGCUGUAUACACAGAAAUUUUUCCUGUAUACGAAGCGUCAAUAGUACCUGUAGAUAUACAAUACUACAAACAGUAGCAUAGAGCUGCUCAAUAAACAAAAGCUAAACAACUGAGUUUCAUAUACAUAGUCCUAAUCCAAAUUACAGGGUUACUCGCACUGGCGAGUUAAGCAAGCUAUGUACAUAAACUCAAAACAAAACAUCUACCUAUAGUAGGGGUGCCUCUAGCUCUGUCAGUCGGGUAGGGCUCUAGCUCGCGACACUCUUGCCUCGAUCCUGAUCCACGGAAGGCGCAGCAGCUGAAACCUGUGGUUCUGCAAAACAGGGGUAACAACUGGGCGUGAGAACUACUGUAAAUACAAGUAGUCCUCAGUGGGUACCGCCCAAACAACAUCGGUCCACCCACUAAGUCUACAGAAGGGAGCAAGAGUAGUCAGAAAAGUAGGAAGUAAACUCUACCGCUAUCGAUCACUACACUAUCAUGCUCUACACUAACCAACUGUAGGAAAUGUCAAACCUGACCCAAUCCAAUCGGGACUGUAAACAUACCCGUCCCUGGGACUAUGAAUACACCCGUCCCUGCCCCGUUGCGACUAUCCAGCUACCUCCACACAAACUGUCUGUGGAGAGCAAGUCCAACUGGCAUGAGCGACACCAACACGAAAGCACAAAGCUUGACUCCGGAGUGACACUCGCAGGCGCUACCCAAUCGAGUAUGCAGCGUAUCUCUGUCGAGCUCAAUCAAGCUCUCAAUAGCCAAAGUCAAGUAACAGACUCAAACUGGUCUAACAACCAACAGGUAACGUGCCUCGGCACAAUCUGACGCCAAAAAGGCAAUACGGGUCCACCGUCAACUCUGACGGCACCCAACAGUCCGGAACAACCUGAACGACCCUGUAAAAUUCCACUCGGCAUACCAGCACGAGCGUAAAUGUAUUCUAAACUAUCUGGAAUACUCGUCUCGAGGAUACAGCGACAGUACAAUUUUAUAACGGCUCCUAGAGCUAAAUCAGGCAGUUUAAACCGGUGACAGGUCCAAAUCGCAGGUUUUCUCCUAAUUCACUUUCCAAGUCCAAUAUGUAUAAUCUAUUUAAUUUAUUACCACAUGCUCCAAAUUCAAAUUUGCAAUCUAACAUAUAAUCCAUGAAUUCGAGCUAGAAUAGAUUAUCAAAAUCGAGAUUUAUACAUGUCGACGAUUCUAAACUUAGGAGUCAAAACCGAUGUAACCCACCUCGAAAUGCUAGCACCUGGCAGCGAACGAAGCCUCGAACCAAAGUGGCCCCUGUUGGAUCAACGGGAACCCUCCAAGUCAAGCACUCGAGCUAAUUCCAAGCUCUACGAUCAAAAUUCACCAAUUCAGUCCGAAUUUCGCAGCAAUAGAGUAGAAAAGGAAUUCGACCAAGCUAACCUUCACCAAAUCUAGCAAGUAAGGGCUUCGUGGAUUUCUCUCAAAGUCCCGAAUCCAAUGAACCAAGUCUCGUCGCAAUCCGAUGCUCCUACGUCGAGAACGAGCUGAAAUACUAACAGUCGACGACAAGAUCCUGCGAAUCAGCACUUAAGCUCGAAUUAAUGAUACCCGAAGUAUGCGCAGCAAUUCCAUAGAGCACUCACCUCGAUAGAUCCUCAAGAGUCGGCGCAAUGUCGAGGACGACGGAAAUCCACACUCGCCCGAGCACCUCACAGCACCAAGACGACACAACGUGCGCUCGAAAGGCUCCGCGGCACCAUGUCGGCGACGAAACUCCACCCGAGCUCCACCUUGCUCACAAUCGGCUCUAGAGAGAGAGAGGGAGAGAACCAAGAGCAAAACUCUCUCUCUCAGCCUCACUCUACAUGUAAAUAAGCUGGGGAGAGGAGGGUGAUACGAACGAGGUAGAAAAAGACCAAAACACCCUCUCACCUACCAUGGUGUACCGGUACACGGGAUCGCGUACCGGUACAGGAAGCCAGCCCGAGAGCAGUACGCGCUCAACCAGUAUAGUGUACCGGUACACCUCGCUGGCUGUACCGGUACAGCAAGAAGGAAAAUCUGCUAUUUUGCAUAUUUCUUUGCUGAAGGCUGCCCUCGCGUCGCACGGAGUCCGUUUUGCGUCUAUUUGACGCCAACGCGACUCGGACUUGUUCCGACACUCUCCAGAGCUGUCGAUAAGCCUCCACAGUCAAACACCAGGGAUCUCACAGGGGCCCAAUUUGAACUCAUAAAUGGGCCCUCAGAAUCAAGCAUCUGAUGCUGCAUAUGCAGUUCGCGUAUCAUUUCACAUCAAUCGAGAAUUUAGGGCCUCGUUCUAGAGAGAGGAGGACGAGAAAGAGAGUGAAAGCGAAAAUAGGGUAACGGAUUAGGGUUGGCGAGUGAAAACCCUAUUUGUAGAGAUGCUACAAAAGCAUAUAAACCCUCCAAACUUUCAAAUUUACAACCAAACAACCUCAGCUUUUACGCUAGGUUUCUAACACCUGCCCGAACUUAAUUUCAAGCGCUCGAAUCCAUCAUAGUUGCGUCCAGUCCACAAUCCGGAU
rnacentral:lncRNA from 1 species